rnacentral:rRNA from 1 species
UACGGAGGAUGCGAGCGUUAUCCGGAUUUAUUGGGUUUAAAGGGUGCGUAGGCGGGCUUUUAAGUCAGCGGUAAAAAUUCGGGGCUCAACCCCGUCCGGCAGUUGAAACUGGGGGCCUUGAGUGGGCGAGAAGAAGGCGGAAUGCGUGGUGUAGCGGUGAAAUGCAUAGAUAUCACGCAGAACCCCGAUUGCGAAGGCAGCCUUCCGGCGCCCUACUGACGCUGAGGCACGAAAGUGCGGGGAUCGAACAGG